AGGGUCAGUUCGGCUGGAUCGGUGACAGGUGCUGCAUGGCUGUCGUCAGCUCGUGUCGUGAGAUGUUGGGUUAAGUCCCGCAACGAGCGCAACCCUCGUCCUUAGUUGCCAGCAUUAAGUUGGGCACUCUAAGGAGACUGCCGGUGUUAAACCGGAGGAAGGCGGGGAUGACGUCAAGUCCUCAUGGCCCUUAUGUCCAGGGCUACACACGUGCUACAAUGGCCGGUACAAAGGGUAGCAAGACCGCGAGGUGGAGCAAAUCCUAAAAAGCCGGUCUCAGUUCGGAUUGCAGGCUGCAAUUCGCCUGCAUGAAGUCGGAAUCGCUAGUAAUCGCAGGUCAGCAUACUGCGGUGAAUACGUUCCCGGGCCUU
rnacentral:rRNA from 1 species